AUGCACGCUGGCGGCGUGCCUAAUACCUGCAAGUCGAGCGAACAGAUGAGGAGCUUGCUCCUCUGACGUUAGCGGCGGACGGGUGAGUAACACGUGGAUAACCUACCUAUAAGACUGGGAUAACUUCGGGAAACCGGAGCUAAUACCGGAUAAUAUAUUGAACCGCAUGGUUCAAUAGUGAAAGACGGUUUUGCUGUCACUUAUUGAUGGAUCCGCGCCGCAUUAGCUAGUUGGUAAGGUAACGGCUUACCAAGGCAACGAUGCGUAGCCGACCUGAGAGGGUGAUCGGCCACACUGGAACUGAGACACGGUCCAGACUCCUACGGGAGGCAGCAGUAGGGAAUCUUCCGCAAUGGGCGAAAGCUUGACGGAGCAACGCCGCGUGAGUGAUGAAGGUCUUCGGAUCGUAAAACUCUGUUAUUAGGGAAGAACAAAUGUGUAAGUAACUAUGCACGUCUUGACGGUACCUAAUCAGAAAGCCACGGCUAACUACGUG
rnacentral:rRNA from 1 species